rnacentral:rRNA from 1 species
GACGAACCACACAAACGUUAUUCGGAAUUACUGGGCUUAAAGGGUGCGUAGGCUGCGCGGAAAGUUGGGUGUGAAAUCCCUCGGCUCAACCGAGGAACUGCGCCCAAAACUACCGUGCUCGAGGAAGAUAGAGGUGAGCGGAACUUACGGUGGAGCGGUGAAAUGCGUUGAUAUCGUAAGGAACACCCGUGGCGAAAGCGGCUCACUGGGUCUUUUCUGACGCUGAUGCACGAAAGCUAGGGGAGCAAACGGG